rnacentral:lncRNA from 1 species
AAUCAAUCAACAUUCCCAUCUCUACUGACUCACAUGGCCUGGAACGCAAGUUCACAUACCAAAGAGAACUGAGAAGGGGGAUGGGGGAAAUAACUCUCCAAUUUAUCUAGGUAAGAGCACCACUCCUAUUUUCACUCCAUGAGUGUUAUGCAAGGUCAGCCUCCCCCUCUGCAGAAUGGGAGAGUUCUGGAUGACUUCUCUGAACAGCAUGGGGUCAAGGAUGACUGCCAAGACAUCAGAUGUCAUCACACCUGCCUUUCUCCUGGAUGUCUUUUCUUAUCAUUACAGUUGAAAUGCAAGAGAAACCCUAAAAGAAAUGUGAAGCUGAGAAGGACACAGCUCUCUGACCAUGACCACAGGAAGUGUUUGAGGGAGGUGACAGAGGAAUGGAAUCACCUGAGAAGAAUACUGCUUCCAGCAGGAAACUAAUGGGUAACUCUGACACCCCAAAUGUGAAGUCACUGCCUCAUGUUUUGGGUUGCUCACAAAUGGUAAUCCCUACUUCCCAGCAAUUCCAACAAGGAAGAAGAUUGGCUGUAAAAACUCCUGGGGAAAAUCAUCAGUCAAGAGCCAAAGUUUCCUGAGGCCAUGAACCUCCACCAGGAGAAGGAGGACAAGGAGGAGGAAGAUAAUUGAGGAGGAGAAGAAGGAGUAAG